GUUUGGAUGAUUGAUGACUUGGUGAACACUUUCGGAGUCAAUUUCGUCUCCGUGUCUGUCGCACUGUCUGUCUGCGUAUUUACCUAUACUCCUGUGAAAUGUUCACACCUCACUUCACACCUCACUACACCUAGCAUUUUAUCCGUUUCAGCGCUUCCCUUGCUCUUUCUUCUUCUCUCUGUUUCGUUUCCAGUUAACAGAUUCUUGCUUUCCUCCUUUUCUGUUUUGCGGUAGAGGAAUCAUGUAGAAUUCCUCCGAUAUGGCAGAUCCAUUGCAGUCAGUGCUGCCAAACUUACCGUUUGGCUGGAGAUUUCACCCAACCGAUUUUGAACUGCUUGACCAUUUUCUUAAGAACAAGAUGCUUGGUCUUCUCAUCGAUUGCAACGACAUUGGAGAAUUUCAGCUAUGCAAUUUUAAUCCUUCAGAUCUUUUACCUGGGUGUUCCGAUGAAGCGUGCUAUUUCUUUUGUCGUCCCGAGUUUUACAUAGAAAAUGGGCAGCGGAAAAGGAAAAGGAAAGCGAGGGUUGGGUUCUGGAAGGGCACAGGCAAGACUAAAUCAGUCAAAUCUCUACAUAGCGAUGAGGAGAUUGGAAAAAGGAGCAUUUUCGUUUACCAUGACCCUAAACCGACUAAAUAUGUCAUACACGAAUAUGAAUUCACUGCAAAACUCAACUUGCCUUUAAAGGCAGAGUUUGUUCUUUGUAAACUACAUAUAAACAAGAAACAAAAGGCCAAUAAGAAGUCAAAGAAGAUGGAAUCAAAUUCCAAAAAGACAAAAACAGGUACAAAGUUAAAAGAUACAAAACUAGGUUGCAAGAAGAGUAAAUCAAAAAAGAAGGCAAGAAUUGAUUUCUCCAAUUGCAAUGUGGCUUCUGUUUUUCAAAAUCAAAAUUUAGAGAUAAUGGCUAAUUCAGCUUGUGGCGAAGAUGCACCGCGCAGGCUUGUGACUUCUGAUUAUGAAAAUCGAAGUCCAAAUAAGAUGUCAGCUAUUUCAACAUAUGAGAUAGGUGAAUCAAGUUUUCGAAAGGAUUCAAAUUUUGAAUAUCAAAACCCACAUGAUAUUUUUACUACCUCAAUCUACAAAAAUGGUGAAGAAUUUUUCACAAAAACACAAAAUUUGUCAAUCUACGACAAAUGUGAAGAAAAUUUCUUAAUCAUUCAAAAGCCGAAUGUUAUACAAAAUGUUUCAUUAUUUAAUGAUUUUGAAACAAGAGAAAAUUUAUCAAUCACUCCAAAGCCCCAUGCUAUACAAAACGUUUCAUCAUUUAACGAUCUUGAAACAAGAGAAAACUUCUCAUUCACUCCAAAGCCUU
rnacentral:misc_RNA from 1 species